rnacentral:rRNA from 1 species
UUAAAUUGAAGAGUUUGAUCAUGGCUCAGAUUGAACGCUGGCGGCAGGCCUAACACAUGCAAGUCGAACGGUAACAGGAAGCAGCUUGCUGUUUCGCUGACGAGUGGCGGACGGGUGAGUAAUGUCUGGGAAACUGCCUGAUGGAGGGGGAUA